rnacentral:rRNA from 17 species
AAGUAAUUAAGGGCGUACGGUGGAUGCCUAGGCUUUUAGAGGCGAUGAAGGACGUGACAAGCUGCGAUAAGCUUCGGGGAGGUGCACAUAACCUUUGAUCCGGAGAUUUCCGAAUGGGGCAACCCACUAUGCUGAAGGCAUAGUACUCGAAAGAGAGCAAACCCAGGGAACUGAAACAUCUAAGUACCUGGAGGAAGAGAAAACAAUAGUGAUUCCCUAAGUAGUGGCGAGCGAACGGGGAACAGCCCAAACCGUAACAGUUACGGCUGUUGCGGGGUUGUAGGACUGCACUGUGGACUAUACAAACGAAUCGGAAUGGUUUGGGAAAGCCAAUCAAAGAGGGUGAGAAUCCCGUACGAGUAAAGUUGUAUUACCUAGCAGUAUCCUGAGUAGGGCGGGACCGGAGAAAUCCCGUCUGAAUCCACCGGCACCAUCCGGUAAGGCUAAAUACUCCUGAGAGACCGAUAGUGAACUAGUACCGUGAGGGAAAGGUGAAAAGUACCCUGAAUAAGGGAGUGAAAUAGUACCUGAAACCGUGUGCUUACAAGCGGUCGGAGCUGCAUUUAUGUAGUGACGGCGUGCCUUUUGUAUAAUGAGCCUACGAGUUGCUCCU